AAUUCUCAACCAUUCUCUCUUUUCUGGGAGUAUGGCUUGGACUUGGGGGUUGCUGGCAGCACUGUCAGCUCUCCUUAAAUGUAUUAGCAAUCGAGUUGGCUAGUCUUUUGACGUACACGGCCUCGGACGUGAUAAUGAUCGUCGUGGCUGGAGCGUCUUUCCUAGACUAUGUACAUAGAUCGCUUCUAAUCUGUUGUCUAUCGAGCUUAGCUACUAGGUAGUCUUUUUGGCUGGCGAACGCAAGCGAGACAUUCACAUUCUCAGAG
rnacentral:misc_RNA from 2 species